CAGCCGCCGCGGGAACACGUAGGGUGCAAGCGUUAAUCGGAAUUACUGGGCGUAAAGCGUGCGCAGGCGGUUAUAUAAGACAGAUGUGAAAUCCCCGGGCUCAACCUGGGAACUGCAUUUGUGACUGUAUAGCUAGAGUACGGCAGAGGGGGAUGGAAUUCCGCGUGUAGCAGUGAAAUGCGUAGAUAUGCGGAGGAACACCGAUGGCGAAGGCAAUCCCCUGGGCCUGUACUGACGCUCAUGCACGAAAGCGUGGGGAGCAAACAGGAUUAGAUACCCCUGUGUCCCUGUCUCUUAUACA
rnacentral:rRNA from 1 species